CCANGCACUAGCGCGGUGGUCCCACCUGACCCCAUGCCGAACUCAGAAGUGAAACGCCGUAGCGCCGAUGGUAGUGUGGGGUCUCCCCAUGCGAGAGUAGGGAACUGCCAGAC
rnacentral:rRNA from 1 species